rnacentral:pre_miRNA from 1 species
AAUAAAUUCACCAGGUCUUGUUAAACAAAGAUUCGGAUUCAGCAGUCUUAUGGCCUAAGAUUCUGUAUUUCUAAUAAGCUUUCAAGUGAUGCUGCU